AAUCAACGCUGGCGGCGUGCCUAACACAUGCAAGUCGAACGCGAAAGCCCCGCAAGGGGUAAGUAGAGUGGCAAACGGGUGAGUAACGCGUGGGUGACCUACCUUCGAGUGGGGGAUAACCUUCCGAAAGGAGGGCUAAUACCGCAUGACAUCCCGUGUUUGGAUACACGGAGAUCAAAGCCGGGGAUCGCAAGACCUGGCGCUUGAAGAGGGACCCGCGUCCGAUUAGCUAGUUGGUGGGGUAACGGCUCACCAAGGCUCCGAUCGGUAUCCGGCCUGAGAGGGCGGACGGACACACUGGAACUGAGACACGGUCCAGACUCCUACGGGUGGCAG
rnacentral:rRNA from 1 species